AACGAACGCUGGCGGCAUGCCUAACACAUGCAAGUCGAACGAUCCCUUCGGGGAUAGUGGCGCACGGGGGCGUAACGCGUGGGAAGCUGCCCUUAGGUUCGGAAUAACUCAGAGAAAUUUGAGCUAAUACCGGAUAAUGUCUUCGGACCAAGGAUUUAUCGCCUUUGGAUGGGCCCGAGUUGGAUUAGCUGGUUGGUGGGGUAAAGGCCUACCAUUGCGACGAUCCAGAGCUGGUCGGAGAGGAUGACACGCCACACUGGGACGGCGGCACGGCCCAGAAUCCUACGGGAGGCAGGAGUGGGUUAUACUGGGCGCGGGGCGAAAGCGUGAUACAGCAGUGCCGCGGGAGUGAUGAAGGGCUUAGGGUUGUAAAGCUCUUUUACCCGGGAUGAUAAUGACAGUACCGGGAGAAGAAGCCCCGGCUAACUCCGUG
rnacentral:rRNA from 1 species